GACGAACGCUGGCGGCGUGCCUAAUACAUGCAAGUCGAACGAGAGCGACCGGUGCUUGCACUGGUCAAUCUAGUGGCGAACGGGUGUGUAACACGCGGGUAACCUGCCCAUCAGAGGGGGAUAACAUUCGGAAACGGAUGCUAAAACCGCAUAGGUUCUUGAGUCGCAUGACUCAGGAAGGAAAAGAGGCCUCGGCUUCUGCUGAUGGAUGGACCCGCGGUGCAUUAGCUAGUUGGUGAGGUAACGGCUCACCAAGGCCGUGAUGCAUAGCCGACCUGAGAGGGUGAUCGGCCACAUUGGGACUGAGACACGGCCCAAACUCCUACGGGAGGCAGCAGUAGGGAAUCUUCCGCAAUGGACGCAAGUCUGACGGAGCAACGCCGCGUGAGUGAAGAAGGAUUUCGGUUCGUAAAACUCUGUUGUUAGAGAAGAACAGCGCAUAGAGUAACUGUUAUGCGUGUGACGGAUUAACCAAAAGCC
rnacentral:rRNA from 1 species